UACUUAUCAAGAGAGGUGGAGGGACUGGCCCUAUGAAACCCAGCAACCAGCAUUUUGCAUGGUGCUAAAUCCUGCGGUAUUUUUAUACCGAAAGAUGAGAA
rnacentral:ncRNA from 2 species